CCUACGGGAGGCAGCAGUGGGGAAUAUUGGGCAAUGGGCGCAAGCCUGACCCAGCAACGCCGCGGGAAGGAAGAAGGCUUUCGGGUUGUAAACUUCUUUUCUGGGGGACGAACAAAUGACGGUACCCCAGGCAUAAGCCACGGCUAACUACGUGCCCGCAGCCGCGGUAAUACGUAGGUGGCAAGGGUUAUCCGGAAUUAUUGGGUGGAACGGGCGGGUAGGCGGGAAUGCAAGUCAGAUUUGAAAACUCAGGGCUCAACCCUGAGCCUGCAUUUGAAACUGUGUUUCUUGAGUGCUGGAGAGGCAAUCGGAAUUCCGUGGGUAGCGGUGAAAUGCGGAGAUAUACGGAGGAACACCAGUGGCGAAGGCGGAGUGCUGGACAGUAACUGACGCUGAGGCGCGAAAGCGUGGGGAGCAAACAGGAUUAGAUACCCCAGUAGUC
rnacentral:rRNA from 1 species